UAAUUAAAUAUUUGAGUAGUAUUAGUUAUGAUCUUGAAACUUAAAAAAUUUGGCGGUAUUUUAGUCUAUUCAGAGGAAUCUGUAAAGUAAUCGAUAUUCCACGUUGAAUCUUACUUAAGUUUAUUUUAGUUUAUAUAUCGUCGUUAUAAGAAUAUUUUUAAAAAAUUAUAAAUUUUCUAUAAUUUUUAAAAAAAAAUAUAUCAGAUAAAGGUGUAGCUUAUAUUUAAGUUUAUUAUGGAUUACAAUAAAAUUAUUUAUAUGGAUAUAAAUUUGAAAUAUUUAUUGAAGGUGGAUUUGAUAGUAAAAUAAUAUAGAUUAAUUAUU
rnacentral:rRNA from 1 species